rnacentral:ncRNA from 1 species
AUGUAUUAGCAUAUUAAUAACUAGCUGUUCACUGCUAGCUUUAACAUUUAGCACCAAACUAAAUGAAAUAUGAUAAAAAAGAAAAGGGUAUUUUCUACAAGUGAAUAUUAUUAUUCUGUAAGAUUGUCUAAUACUUGUGGCACUACUAUGAUCUUGCCUUCUAUAGCUUGUUUUAAAUCUGAUUCCUCUUGAGUCUGUGUGAAAUAACUGUUCUAUUCUAUUUAGAAUUAUAUUGAAUUAUCCAAGAUUACCAAAAUAUAACUUUCGCUAUACCUUAUUUCCUAGUGACAAAGGAUACGUACUACUCCUCAGGAAAACAGGAAAUGAUUCACAACACCAAUAAAUGAUACACCAAUGAAGGUGAAGAUCGGCACGCGCCAGCUGAGGUGGGAUCCCGAGGUGGAUGCACCACCAGCCGUCUCGCCCGCUCUGUCGGGGAGGUGGAGCAUGAGCACCCGUGCUAAGACCCGAAAGAUGGUGAACUAUGCCUGGGUAGGGCGAAGACGGAGGAAACUCUGGUGGGGGUCCGUAGCUUUCCUGAUGUGCAAAUCCUGUUCCACAUGCUCUAGGUGACUCUGAGUGUGCAGGGAGGUUGGACUAGAUGACCUCUAGAGGUCCCUUCCAACCUUAAGCAUUCUAUGAUUCUGUGAUUCUAGGAAAUCAGUCAUCUGACCCAGUAGAGGGGCGAAAGACUAAUCGAACUGUCUAGUAGCUGGUUCCUUCCGAAGUUUCCCUCAGGAUAACUGGUACUUGGUGGAUGGCAGUUUUACGCGGUCAAGUGAAUGAUUAAAGGUCUUGGGACCCUGGCUGAGGAGGACAGGGUUAGGGAUUGUUUAGGCAAACUAGACAUCUAUGAGCCCAGAUGGGUUGCACCUAAGAGUUCUGAGGAAACUGGCAGGAGUCAUUGCUCAGAUGCUCUCCAUCAUCUCUGAGAGGUCAUGGAGAGUGGGGGAGGUGCUGGAGGACUGGAAGAAAGCCAAGGUCACUCCAGACUUCAAAAAAGGCAAGAGGGAGGAGCCGGGAAGCUACAGGCUGGACAACCUCACUUCCGUCCCUGGCAAGGUGAUGGAGCAGGUUACACUAGAGACCAUCUCUAAGUGUGAAGGAAAAGAAGGUGAUCAGGAGUAGUCAGCAUGGAUUCGUCAAGGGGAAGUCAUGUCUGAUGAACCUGAUAUCCUCUACAAUGAGGUGACCAGCUGAAUGGACGAUGGGAGAGCCAUGGAUGUUGUCUACCCUGACUUCAGCAAAGCUUUUGACACAGUCUCCCAUAAUGUCCUCAUAGGAAAACUUAGGAAGUGUGGACUGGAUGAGUGGACAGUGAAGUGGAUUGAAGACUGGCUGGAUGGCAGAGCCCAGAGGGUGGUGAUAAAUGGGGUUGAGUCUGGUUGGAGGCCUGUGGCCAGUGGUAUCCCACAGAGGUCAGUAAUGGGCCGGGUGCUGUUCAACUUGUUCAUCAAUGACUUGGACAAGGGCACAGAGUGCACCCUCAGCAAGUUUGCAGAUGACACCAAACUGGGAGGAGUGGCUGACACUCCUGAGAGCUGUGCUGCUGUUCAGACAGACCUAGACAGGUUGGCGAGUUGGGCAGAGAGGAACCUCAUGAGGUUCAACAAGGAUAGGUGCAAGGAUAAGUGCACAGUCUGCAGCAGACUGUGGACCAAAAUGUGGAACUUUUGUCAUUUUGAAUCUUUCCUUCAGCUUGAAACUUCUGAUGAGCAACAUUCAUCCCCAUGGUAUUUCCUUGUUGAAUCCCAGCAAAGAUCUGAACUUUUCUUACAUUCCAUGGGGAUUCUGAUCUGCUCCCAAAAUCUCCUGAAUUUCUAAGGUUCUCAGCUCAUUCUUAGGAGAAUAAGCCAAUCAAAUAGGGGAGAAAAAUAUAACUGAGUUCAUAUAAUAGCACAAACAAUUAAUGUAUUCAGAUUGACAGCCUGGCCACAAACUUCUCACCUCUCCUUACCUGCGGAGGAGAUAGCUGAGAUUUAUUAGAUGAAUGAAUUAGGUAGCAAGUCAUUUGCUAUCAGUGGUAUUAUUUCCUUCCGAGGCAGUGCAGGUCAUAGAAUCAUAGAAUCAUAGAAUCAUAGAAUGCUUAGGGUUGGAAGGGACCUCUAGAGAUCAUCUAGUCCAACCCCCCUGCAUACGCAGGGACACCUAGAGCACGUGGCACAGGGCUGCAUCCAAGCGGGUUUUGAAGAUCUCCAGAGAAGGAGACUCCACAACCUCUCUGGGCAGCCUGUUCCAGUGCUCUGUCACCCUCACUGUUAAGAAAUUUUUCCUUAAGUUCCUAUGGAAUUUUUGAUGUUUCAGUUUCCGGCCAUUUCCUCUAGUCCUACCAGUGGCCACCACUGAAAAGAGACCAGCACCGUCCUCUGCACUCCCUCCCUUGAGGUACUUAUAGACACUGAUUAGAUCCCCUCUCAGCCUUCUCUUCUCCAGGCUGAACAGGCCCAGCUCCCUCAGCCUCUCCUCAUAGGGCAGAUGUUCCAGGCCCCUGAGCAUCCUUGUAGCCCUGCGCUGGACUCUCUCCAGCAGCUCCACAGCCCUCUUGUACUGUGGAGCC